UUGCCCUUGGAAUCUAUGAGCAGCUACCAGCCAGUGUUAAUGAGGCACAGAAUGAGGGUUCUUAUUAUGGAUUACAGACAGCUGGGGUUUUCCCAGUGUCCAGGCAGACAGAGAAGGUGAGGCUUGGUGCUACCAUAAAAAUGGCCCCUGCACAGAAGGAGCAGGUAGUAGGCUUUCUUGCUGGUUGCUGCUGACUGUCUGGAACUUGACUCAUUGCUGAACGCAGGGGAGAGCAUCUGCAUGGAGAGCUGCAUUGUAAUAAUGCCAUCCACCAUAACACGCACUGUGCUAAGGAAUGCCCCUUGGAGGUGCACUCAUGAGCAAACCUGAACUGGCAGGUCUCCCAUGAGGGAGCUAAGCUGAAGUGGGGGGACCUGCAGCAAAUCAGGGGAUGUGGCAGUGAAGAAAAGAACUGGAAAGAAACCACACUGUGCUCCAGUAGUGCUAGCUGCUUGGUGGGACCUGCUCUGUCUCCAAGCCAGUGAGCUCCAUAUCCAGGCAGGAAUGUUUGUGUGCAAGCCACCCGCUCUUGGGAAAGCCUCCUGCUGCACCCCAAGGCGCAAAGGGCAGAGUUAAGAAGGAAGCCACAGCCCCGUCUAAUGUCACCAGCUUCCUUUAUCUUUACAGUCAGACUGGCAAAGUAAAGAAAAGCACUUGAUACAAGAUGUUUAAAUACCUCUCCUCUCCCUCCCCUGCCUCCUCGAGGUCUCCAUUGAUGACGUCAAUUUUCAUUGUCCAACUGAGCUGAUAAUGCAGAGGAAGGAAAAGGGAUGAACUGUAACCUGUAGUUUGUUUGUUUGGAAACUUUAUUAACAAUCCACACAUGGUUUAAGACCAAAA